rnacentral:rRNA from 1 species
UACAGAGGGGGCAAGCGUUGUUCGGAAUUACUGGGCGUAAAGGGCGCGUAGGCGGCCUGUUAAGUCGAACGUGAAAUCCCCGGGCUCAACCCGGGAACUGCGUCCGAUACUGGCAGGCUUGAAUCCGGGAGAGGGAUGCGGAAUUCCAGGUGUAGCGGUGAAAUGCGUGGAUAUCUGGAGGAACACCGGUGGCGAAGGCGGCAUCCUGGACCGGCAUUGACGCUGAGGCGCGAAAGCCAGGGGAGCAAACGGG